AGUAAAGAAGAAGCACCCGCUUCUCACCUGAUUGACGCUUUUAGGCAGUUAGCAGGUUUACGUGAAUUUUAACAUUGUACGUAAUGUGUGGGUGUCUUCACCCGCACUUUUUUAUUU
rnacentral:sRNA from 1 species